UACGAGAUCAAUGGGAACCACUCGGGUUCUU
rnacentral:sRNA from 1 species